GAUGAACGCUGGCGGCGUGCCUAAUACAUGCAAGUCGAGCGAACGGACGAGAAGCUUGCUUCUCUGAUGUUAGCGGCGGACGGGUGAGUAACACGUGGAUAACCUACCUAUAAGACUGGGAUAACUUCGGGAAACCGGAGCUAAUACCGGAUAAUCUUUUGAACCGCAUGGUUCAAAAGUGAAAGACGGUCUUGCUGUCACUUCUAGAUGGAUCCGCGCUGCAUUAGCUAGUUGGUAAGGUAACGCCUUACCAAGGCAACGAUGCAUAGCCGACCUGAGAGGGUGAUCGGCCACACUGGAACUGAGACACGGUCCAGACUCCUACGGGAGGCAGCAGUAGGGAAUCUUCCGCAAUGGGCGAAAGCCUGACGGAGCAACGCCGCGUGAGUGAUGAAGGUCUUCGGAUCGUAAAACUCUGUUAUUAGGGAAGAACAUAUGUGUAAGUAACUGUGCACAUCUUGACGGUACCUAAUCGGAAAGCCACGGCUAACUACGUG
rnacentral:rRNA from 1 species